GAUGAACGCUAGCUACAGGCUUAACACAUGCAAGUCGUGGGGAAACGGCAUUAUGUGCUUGCACAUUCUGGACGUCGACCGGCGCACGGGUGAGUAUCGCGUAUCCAACCUGCCCCUUACUUGGGGAUACCCCGUUGAAAGACGGCCUAAUACCCGAUGUGUUUCAUUGACGGCAUCCGAUAUGAAACAAAGGUUUUUCCGGUAAGGGAUGGGGAUGCGUCUGAUUAGCUUGUUGGCGGGGCAACGGCCCACCAAGGCAACGAUCAGUAGGGGUUCUGAGAGGAAGGUCCCCCACAUUGGAACUGAGACACGGUCCAAACUCCUACGGGAGGCAGCAGUGAGGAAUAUUGGUCAAUGGACGCAAGUCUGAACCAGCCAAGUAGCGUGCAGGAUGACGGCCCUAUGGGUUGUAAACUGCUUUUAUGUGGGAAUAAAGUGGCGCACGUGUGCGCCAUUGCAUG
rnacentral:rRNA from 1 species